rnacentral:misc_RNA from 1 species
UGGCUCUCGCAUCGAUGAAGAACGCAGCGAAAUGCGAUAAGUAAUGUGAAUUGCAGAAUUCAGUGAAUCAUCGAAUCUUUGAACGCACCUUGCGCACCUUGGUAUUCCGAGGAGCAUGCCUGUUUGAGUGUCUUGAAGUCAUCAACCCCUCCCGUUUCGUUCGAAGCGGAAGGGUUUGGAUCUGGGGGCUUGCUGCCGUGAGGCGGCUCCCCUCAAAUGCAUCGGUUGGGCCUGUGGGUCGAACUCGACUGGGUGUUGUAUCAACCUCGCUCUAACGAGAAGUUCCCCUUCCGUGCCCGACUCCGACCUGCCUUUGGAGCGGCGGUCAAGCAAAACUUUGAAAUCUGACCUCAAAUCAGGUAGGACUACCCGCUGA